rnacentral:lncRNA from 1 species
UGUUCGCCAUUUUGCUACAAUACCUAUAAACUACGCCUGAAGCCCGCAUAGCGUUUGGGUUUGGCAGUUUCGCUCUAGUCUAGUGCGAGAGCGAUGUCUCUCCCGGUUCGUAUUAGGAAUCGCCUAAGGAGCGAAUCAGGCUGUCCAUUAGUUGCCGCUUUGUGUCGCUGUAGGUUCGUCUGCUCCUGUUUUCUUCAGAUUUUUCUCCUUUUUCUUUUUCUUUUUUUUCACCAGUUUUCUUUGUUAUACAUUUGUUUUCUUAGUUUCUAUCUCAGUUUUCUUUGCUUUCCUUGUUUUCUCGUUUCUUUGUCGGCUAUUAUUAUUUUUUAACACAAGUCUACCCUUUCUUUGUACACAAUGUACAUUUUUAGUGCACAUGUGAAACAUUUUUUUUGAUACAUGUUGGACAAUUUUUAACUAUAUGAGGAAUAUUUUGAAAAAAAUACAUGUUUUGAACACUUCUUGUAAUAUAUUAAAACAUUUUGCAAAUACACGCUGUACACUUUUUAAGGGAAAAAAACCUUAUUUUAAACUAUAUGAACAUUUGUAUAUAUAAAUUCCUAAACUAGGUGAAAGAUUUUUACAUUGUAUAAACAAUUUUGAAAAAUAUUACAAACAUUUUUUCUGAAACACAUGAUUUUUUUUAAAAUAUAAAUUUCAUUUUUUAAAUGCUACGAAAUAUUUUCAAUUUUUUUUGCAAACAUUUGUUUAAAUGUGAAAAACAUUUUAAAUGUAUAUAUUUUCUAAAGUCCAUAGAUAGAAAAAAAAAUAAAAGUUGUGAAUUAUUUUUGAACAUAACAUAAACAUAAUUUUUAAUACGGCAUAAACAAUUUAAAUAAAACCAUUUGUAUGUUAGGAUACUUUUAAAUAUAAAUAAAAUAUUGAAAUAAAAAGAAAAGCUAUUUCCCGCUCACCUCCAGUCCAAUACUUUAGCUGCACACGUCGAUUGUUCUCUCCGUGGUUUCUCAUCAAUUUUUACUAUUUGCAAUGGCUUCUUAUGGGCUUCUUUUUUUGAUUUUUUUUACUUUUUUCUUUUAGUUUUCUCAAUUUCCUUUUUUAUAUAUAUAACACAUGCCUAACUUUUUUGUAAACAUUAUACAUUUUUUAUAUACACCAGAAACAUUUUCAUACGCAUUCAAUGUUUUUUUAAAUACACUUUUGGCAUGCGAACCAAUCUAUGAUUGGAUGGUUAGGAGGAGAGUGGUAUCCUAGCCCACCAGGAUUCAAGUUAUAGACUUGACAUUGGUACUCGUAUUAUUUCUGAAUUUAUUUCAGGCUUCUGGUGAUGUUUGUUCAGCGGGAGGAGACGUUGCCGUCAACUGUGAGGCGCAUGUGGUGACUUCGUAAAAUUUCAAGAUGCUAUGCCACUCAGUCUCUCGAAGGUGCUCAUAGUGCUAAGGUGUGCGUGUGUUCAUAGGCAUGAGUUUAUGCUCGUGUAUAUGAGCAACUUUGAUUGUACUAUGUUAAAAAGUAUAUGAUUAACAUUUUUUAAAAUAUAUGUUCUGGUGUCCAUUUUCUUAUUCACUUGUACAUUUUGGGCAUAGAUAUAAA